CCUGCGAGCUGUCAUUGUCCGCUUCCUCAACUACUGUUGGUGCUGGGACCUGGAGGCCGGAUUUCCUUCAUAUGGUGAGUUUGACAUCAGUGGAAAUGUGCUGGGUCUCAUCUUCAAUCAAGGAAUGAUAUGGAUGGGUGCAUUUUACGCUCCAGGGCUGGUGGGUCUGAAUGUAUUGCGUCUCCUCUGUUCGAUGUACUAUCAAUGUUGGGCUGUGAUGGCCUGUAAUGUUCCUCACGAACGAGUCUUCAAGGCCUCACGCUCCAACAACUUCUACAUGGGUCUGCUGCUGCUUGUACUCUUCCUUAGUCUGCUGCCAGUGGUCUAUACUAUAAUGACACUGUCUCCAUCAUUUGACUGUGGGCCAUUCAGGUCAGUAAUGGGCUGUAUACUUUGGACAUAAUAUAAAAGUAGUGGAUGAAAUAACUUCUCAUUUAAAGGUUAAGCUACAAAACUGAA